UACGGAGGGUGCAAACGUUGCUCGGAAUCAUUGGGCGUAAAGCGCACGUAGGCGGCCUGUUAAGUCGGAUGUGAAAGCCCCGGGCUCAACCCGGGAAGUGCAUUCGAAACUGGCGGGCUUGAAUAUGGAAGAGGGUCGCGGAAUUCCCGGUGUAGAGGUGAAAUUCGGUAGAUAUCCGGAGGAACACCGGUGGCGAAGGCGGCUCCUGGUCCAGCACCGACGUUCAGGCACGAAAGCGUGGGGAGCAA
rnacentral:rRNA from 1 species